rnacentral:rRNA from 1 species
UACGGAGGGUGCUAGCGUUGCUCGGAAUCACUGGGCGUAAAGGGUGCGUAGGCGGGUCUUUAAGUCAGGGGUGAAAUCCUGGAGCUCAACUCCAGAACUGCCUUUGAUACUGAGGAUCUUGAGUUCGGGAGAGGUGAGUGGAACUGCGAGUGUAGAGGUGAAAUUCGUAGAUAUUCGCAAGAACACCAGUGGCGAAGGCGGCUCACUGGCCCGAUACUGACGCUGAGGCACGAAAGCGUGGGGAGCAAACAGG